UACAGAGGGUGCAAGCGUUAAUCGGAAUUACUAGGCGUAAAGCGCGCGUAGGCGGCUGCCUAAGUCGGAUGUGAAAGCCCCGGGCUCAACCUGGGAACUGCAUUCGAUACUGGGCGGCUAGAGCAUGAGAGAGGGAGGUAGAAUUCCACGUGUAGCGGUGAAAUGCGUAGAUAUGUGGAGGAAUACCGGUGGCGAAGGCGGCCUCCUGGUUCAAUACUGACGCUGAGGUGCGAAAGCGUGGGGAGCAAACAGG
rnacentral:rRNA from 1 species